rnacentral:ncRNA from 1 species
UUAAAGGCUAAGACGGAGAAAAGUAGUCUGUUUAUUACCUUUCAGGGAGGAAGAGUCUCGACUGUAAGCUCUUCUAUGUGUAGUGAUAGAUGAAGUUCCCUCCCGAGCUGCCGGCUGAACGAAAUCAAGUAGGCUAGGACGGUUCUUCACCGUUAACAGGAAGGGGGUAUCGGAUUAUUAAUUCCCGUACCUUUGUCGAGUGGCCUUUUUGGCUUAAGUUGGGUGGUAACGCGAGAUAUAACUUCUCGUCCCUGCAUGGGAUGAGAAGUUUUUUAUUUUAAGUGGACCUUACGGAAUUCGACAAAUACGAGUCUUUGAUAUACCUGUACCUUUAGUUGAGAGGACCGAUUUUGGUCAAAAUGGGUGGUAACGCGGAAGUCCACGGCUUUCGUCCCUGUA